rnacentral:rRNA from 1 species
GACGAACGCUGGCGGCGUGCUUAACACAUGCAAGUCGAACGGAAAGGCCCUGCUUUUGUGGGGUUCUCGAGUGGCGAACGGGUGAGUAACACGUGAGUAACCUGCCCUUGACUUUGUGAUAACUUCAGGAAACUGGGGCUAAUACCGGAUAGGAGCUCCUGCUGCAUGGUGUGGGUUGGAAAGUUUCGGCGGUUGUGGCUAGACUCGCGGCUUAUCAGCUUGUUUGUGUGGUAGUGGCUGCCCAAGGCUUUGACGGGUAGCCCGCCUGAGAGGGUGACCGGGGACAGUACGCCUGCGGGAGGGAGCAGUAGGGUACGGGCGGCAACAGUGGGGAACAUUGCAGAGCGGCGCGGCGCGAGUGAUAGAAGUGUUCCGAUCGUAAUACCCGGCUAUGGGGUGAGAACAGAUUUGGAAGGUGAUGAAGAGUGCUUGACGGUAAUGAAUCAAAAAGCCACGGCUAACUACGUG